rnacentral:rRNA from 1 species
CUGGUUGAUCCUGCCAGUAAUCAUAUGCUUGUCUCAAAGAUUAAGCCAUGCAUGUCUAAGUACAAACUCUAGCACAGUGAAACUGCGAAUGGCUCAUUAGAUCAGUUAUGGUUCCUUAGAUGAUACAAUCCUACUUGGAUAACUGUGGUAAUUCUAGAGCUAAUACAUGCACUAUAGCUCCGACCCUUCUGGGGGAAGAGCGCGUUUAUCAGUUCGAAGCCAGCCGGGUCGCAAGGCCCGUCUCUUUGGUGACUCUGGAUAACUCUAGCGGAUCGCAUGGCCCUGAGCCGGCGACGCAUCUAUCAAGUGUCUGCCCUAUCAGACUGUCGAUGGUAAGUGCUAUGCUUACCAUGGUGAUAACGGGUAACGGGGAAUCAGGGUUCGAUUACGGAGAGGGAGCCUGAGAAACGGCUACCACAUCCAAGGAAGGCAGCAGGCGCGCAAAUUACCCAAUCUCGACACGAGGAGGUAGUGACGAAAAAUAACAAUACGGGACUCUUUCGAGGCCCCGUAAUUGGAAUGAGUGCACUCUAAACGUGUGCACGAGGAUCUAUUGGAGGGCAAGUCUGGUGCCAGCAGCCGCGGUAAUUCCAGCUCCAAUAGCGUAUAUUAAAGUUGUUGUGGUUAAAAAGCUCGUAGUUGGAUCUCAGGGUCGUUCGCGUCGGUCCCUUGCUUAAAUGGCUCGGGUACUGCGCGGUGUCGUCCCCCUUGCCAGACCUCUCAAAAAGGUUGCUCUUGACUGAGUGGCCUGCUCGAGUGGCUGGAGAGUUUACUUUGAAAAAAUUAGAGUGUUCAAAGCAGGCACUGCCCGCCUGUAUAAUGGUGCAUGGAAUAAUGGAAUAGGACCCCGGAUCCUAUUUUGCUGGUUUUUGGAGCUCAGGGGUAAUGAUUAAGAGGAACAGGGCGGGGGCAUCCGUAUUACGGCGUUAGAGGUGAAAUUCUUGGAUCGUCGUAAGACGCCCUACAGCGAAAGCAUUUGCCAAGUAUGUUUUCAUUAAUCAAGAACGAAAGUCAGAGGUUCGAAGACGAUCAGAUACCGUCGUAGUUCUGACCGUAAACUAUGCCAACUGGCAGCCCGUCGGCGUUGCUCUAUUCGACUCGGCGGGAGGCCUACCGAAAACGAAAGUCUUCGGGUUCCAGGGGAAGUAUGGUUGCAAAGCUGAAACUUAAAGGAAUUGACGG